AGCGAGCGGCGCGCAGGAGAACCAGCGCGGGGGCAAAGCCGCCCUGCCCAGUGCCCAUGCCGUGGAGAUGCUCACGACGGGGCCAGCUCCUGCGCGUCCGUUCUCCGACAUGGAAGAACAAGAUAUGGAAGCUACCUCUGGAUUCUGACCCUUUCGUGGUCUUCUCCCUCCCGACUCCUCGGUUGGCAGCUUUCUGCGGGCUUCACAAUUCCCUGGACCUCUGCAACAUUGUGAAAACGAAGGAAACUUCUGGUAACUGGAGUACAGAACCUGGAGACGGAUGAUCCCCAUGGUGACUUCUCCUCAUAGCCCCCUUGGUUGCCUGAAAACAUGCCAGAAAGGACUUGAGAAGACUUCUAGAAUUGGCUUCCUGGUGAUGUGGAACCCUACGGGGUGUGUAGCGAAUGUCUGGUUGUACGAAUGGAGAUAUGCUAGUAAAACCUUGGUUUCACAUGUUGAAAUAUAAGAAUAUAAUACAAUGUACAGUAAUGUAAAAAUCUAGGGAGUAAAAUCAAGGUAAAAUCAACAGCAGUGUUGCGAUUUCAAAGCUCAAACACAAUUUUUUAAAAUGAAGGGCUAAAUUGUUGGCAACAAUUAAAAGGUCUGCUCUUUUCCACUGCGUCAGGACUGCUUUUUAAUUAAUUAAUUUUAAUGGAUUAAUAUAGCCAGUUAAUUAAAUCAUAAUUUUACAGUUGACUACAUCAUGAUCUAGGUUCCAAACAAUGAAUGGAUGUUAAGUUGGAAUUGUUCCAGCUUUAGACUAUAUACUUGUACUUCAGAAUGAGUCCUGUGGGAUUCACUGGGACACAAUUAUGAAUAGAUUUGCAUAGGACUGCCGUGCCAAGCAAAUUUAUGUAAGUUUAGCUGAAACAGGGCCAACUUAUUUCUAAGUAAAUGUGUUUUGCUUAUAGGAAGUACAGAAGUCACUUUGACACACAAUUUAUUUAUUUUAUUUAUUUAUUUUAUUUGGUCGGUUAAGAUCACUCUAGGUGGAAGGGAGAAUAUAAAAAUUCUGCCUUCCCUGUGCAUGUUUGACUUUUUCUCCAACUGGUAGCCCAACUGGUGACUUUUUCUCCAACUGGUUAAACAACAAAUCCCAUCGUCCUCAUCCACUGUGAAGGAUUAGAGUUGGAAGACAACUGAUUGGGGGAAGACUGGCUCAGCCAUAUAUGGGUUCAGAAACUGGGGGAAUAAAACAAAAGCCCUGUCAAAAUCUUAAAUUUCA
rnacentral:lncRNA from 1 species